rfam:Triticum aestivum genome assembly, contig: Triticum_aestivum_CS42_TGACv1_scaffold_569385_7AS
GGUGUACUCCCUCCGUUCCAAAUUACUUGUCUUGGAUUUGUCUAGAUACGGCGUAUCUAGACUCAUUUUAGUGCUAGAUACCUCAGUAUCUAGACAAAUCUAAGACAAGUAAUUCGGAACGGAGGGAGUAGAUC